CCUAGGGGACAUGCAUGCUCGUGCCCCGCAAGGGCUGUCUUCCUUGUGCCUACGAGACCAGGAGUACUAGAUGACGAAGAAGCCCCUGGUGUACGACAUCCACGUUGAGGAGUACUCGAUGCACCGUGUGAUGAAGCAGUUCCACCAGUACCAGGACUCACCAGUUCCGGUGACUCACAGCUUUGAGGUCCACGUACAUAGGUGGACAUGUCAGGGUCAGGCUCCAGUGAGGCAGUGGGGUCCAAAGCUACUUUCGUACGUGGAGUAGUGAGCGUACACUUUUGAGGACAUAGUGCAUGAGGCGCGUGUACACUCUGAUGAGGCUUUCACAGUGUACCUCCAGUGGUACUUACCGAGGACACGAACACGUUUCAUGCACGUUCCCAGGCAGCCGUCGACGGAGACCACACCACUCACAUAGACGUACCCGCGUUCCAGGGACCAGAACUUCGACAUCGUGUUCGACGUUGGCGACCGGCAUGCAGAACUACAUGCACAUCACACCGCACGAGCACGAGUUGAUGUACAAGAGGAUCCAGGUGUUGUGUGCUAGGUUUCGACGGGCCGUCAGUUGCCGAGGUGGUGAACUUGAUAUUCUACUUUCACCAUGGGCUGCCUACCCCAGUUCAUCUUCAGCACCACCUACACAGCGCCUUGGUUCAUCGUCUGCUGCACCCACACGACUAGCGUAUCACCAGUCGUCUGCUGCAGCACAGGCACAAGCAGACUACCCUGGGUCAUUUACUCCUCCAGUUGCACUGUCUUGGGCCGUAGCUCCACUAGGUCCUUCCACUUACGCAUUGCGUCCACAGUCUUUCUACCCCACAAUGCCGCAACACUUCAGCGGACGACCACUUGGUGCCAAAUCAUCUUCACGUGGAC